AAAAAGUGCUAAGCAGAUGCUACACUGUAAGAAGAGGCAACAGAAUCAAAAACUGAAAGAUUGUUACUAAAACCAAUGAAGAGCUGCAGAGAGUGCAGACCCGGCAAAGCAAACACAUGAAUCCUGAAAAGGAUCCCCAAAGGAGGUGUAAGGAUCCGGGACUCUAAUGUCUGCCAGAAGCUUCAGCCACCUUCACAGGUUAGAGCUUACCGUCCAUUGCGGAGGUGAAGACCGGAUGAGAGCUGCUGGAUUGACCUUGAUGUGCCAUGUCCUUGUGUGGAUGAAGGACCUCCAUCUCAGGGAUGGCCAGCAGCAGAUGUAACACGUGU